CCUACGGGUGGCAGCAGUGAGGAAUAUUGGUCAAUGGACGAGAGUCUGAACCAGCCAAGUAGCGUGAAGGAUGACUGCCCUAUGGGUUGUAAACUUCUUUUAUAUGGGAAUAAAAUGUUCCACGUGUGGGAUUUUGUAUGUACCAUAUGAAUAAGGAUCGGCUAACUCCGUGCCAGCAGCCGCGGUAAUACGUAGGAUCCGAGCGUUCUCCGGAUUUAUUGGGUUUAAAGGGAGCGUAGGUGGGUUGUUAAGUCAGUUGUGAAAGUUUUCGGCUCAACCGGAAAAGUGCAGUUGAAACUGGCAGUCUUGAGUACCGUAGAGGUGGGCGGAAUGCGUGGUGUAGCGGUGAAAUGCUUAGAUAUCACGAAGAACUCCGAUUGCGAAGGCAGCUUACUGGACUGCAACUGACACUGAGGCUCGAAAGUGUGGGUAUCAAACAGGAUUAGAUACCCGUGUAGUC
rnacentral:rRNA from 1 species